rnacentral:lncRNA from 1 species
AUGGCCUGCAGGAGCUCCAGCACCUCGGGGUCCACGGGGGCGCCGCGCAGGCAGUCCAGCAGCCGGGGGGCCGUGGCCCCCCCCUGUUGCCGCCGGCGCCACUCGCGCAGCAUCUCGAAGGCGCGCAGCACCGCGCGCUGCGGCCGCUCCUCGCCGAUCUGCUCCAGGCGGCUCUGCGGCAGCCCCAGGCAGGCGAUGCCGACCUCCUGCCACUCGCUGCCCAGCUUCUGCGCCACCAGCAGCAGGUCCCGCUCCGUCAGCAGCCUUGGGGGGUGGCCUGGGAGCAGGGGGGGUUGUCAGGGGUGCCGCAGCAUCUUCCCCGUGCCCCCGUCCCCUCCCCUCCCCUCCCCGCCCGGUGUCUCCCCGAGCGUCCUCAGCAGGUCCCGGUGCUCCUUGGGCACCCUGAGCGCCUCCGGAACCCUGCGCACCUCCAGCCCCUCCAGCACCCCCAGGGCCCUCGGCACCUCAAGCACCCCAAGCGCUUCCAGCACCCCAAACACCUCCAGGACCCCGAGCCCCUCCAGCACCCCGAGCACCCCGGGCACCUCCAGCACCCUGGAUACCUCCAGCGUCCCGCGUGCCUCCAGCAUCCUGAACACCUCCAGCGUCCGGAGCACCUCCAGCACCCCGAGCAUCUCCAGCACCCUGCGCCCCUCCAGCCCCUCCAGCACCCUGAGCUCCGCCGCCGGCCUCGCCGAGGCCGCCGGGGGCCUCGUCCUCCUCGGGGAGCCGGUACUGCCGCAGGAGGUCGUGGCGGCCAAGCUGCCGGAGGACGGCGGCGGCCACGAGCAGCGCGCGGCCGGGGAAGUGCUGCAGGAGCAGGGCGCAGAGCUCGGGGCGGGUGGCGGGGUGCAGGCGGCUGAGCGGCAGCUGCCCCCCCAGCAGGAACUUGAAGGCCUCGAACUCGUCCUCCGUCAGCGCCCGCUGCAGCCCCAGCAGCGCCUCGCGCUCGCCCGACGCCAUCGGGGACGGAGCUGCCGGGGGGGAUGGGGGGGCUCACGUCGGGGCACAGGGAUGGGGCAGUGCCGUGCGCCCCCCCCAGAGCCGUGUGUGUGCCCCCCCCCCUCCUGCUGUGGGGAGGGGUCCCCCCGGUGCCCCCAGAGACACGGAGCCAGCCGUGGGGCACCCCAGUGCCACCAAUGCCAAGGGACCCCCAGUGUCCCCAGUACCCCCCCCAUUGCUAUAGGCCUCCCCAGCGUCCCCAGUACCCUCCCCGCCACCAGACCAGGUCCACCCAUUGUCCCCAGUUCU